rnacentral:piRNA from 1 species
UAUCCGGAGCUUUUGCAUACCCUAGG